rnacentral:rRNA from 3 species
CAAGUAGCGUGAAGGAUGACUGNCCUAUGGNUNUAAACUUNUUUAUAAAGGAAUAAAGUCGGGUAUGCAUACCCGUUUGCAUGUACUUUAUGAAUAAGGAUCGGCUAACUCCGUGCCAGCAGCCGCGGUAAUACGGAGGAUCCGAGCGUUAUCCGGAUUUAUUGGGUUUAAAGGGAGCGUAGAUGGAUGUUUAAGUCAGUUGUGAAAGUUUGCGGCUCAACCGUAAAAUUGCAGUUGAUACUGGAUAUCUUGAGUGCAGUUGAGGCAGGCGGAAUUCGUGGUGUAGCGGUGAAAUGCUUAGAUAUCACGAAGAACUCCGAUUGCGAAGGCAGCCUGCUAAGCUGCAACUGACAUUGAGGCUCGAAAGUGUGGGUAUCAAACAGGAUUAGAUACCCUGGUAGUCCACACGGUAAACGAUGAAUACUCGCUGUUUGCGAUAUACGGCAAGCGGCCAAGCGAAAGCGUUAAGUAUUCCACCUGGGGAGUACGCCGGCAACGGUGAAACUCAAAGGAAUUGACGGGGGCCCGCACAAGCGGAGGAACAUGUGGUUUAAUUCGAUGAUACGCGAGGAACCUUACCCGGGCUUAAAUUGCAGAUGAAUUACGGUGAAAGCCGUAAGCCGCAAGGCAUCUGUGAAGGUGCUGCAUGGUUGUCGUCAGCUCGUGCCGUGAGGUGUCGGCUUAAGUGCCAUAACGAGCGCAACCCUUGUUGUCAGUUACUAACAGGUUNUGCUGAGGACUCUGACAAGACUGCCAUCGUAAGAUGUGAGGAAGGUGGGGAUGACGUCAAAUCAGCACGGCCCUUACGUCCGGGGCUACACACGUGUUACAAUGGGGGGUACAGAGGGCCGCUACCACGCGAGUGGAUGCCAAUCCCAAAAACCUCUCUCAGUUCGGACUGGAGUCUGCAACCCGACUCCACGAAGCUGGAUUCGCUAGUAAUCGCGCAUCAGCCACGGCGCGGUGAAUACGUUCCCGGGCCUUGUACACACCGCCCGUCAAGCCAUGGGAGCCGGGGGUACCUGAAGUGCGUAACCGCGAGGAG